rnacentral:rRNA from 1 species
AGCGAACGCUGGCGGCAGGCCUAACACAUGCAAGUCGAACGAACUCUUCGGAGUUAGUGGCGGACGGGUGAGUAACACGUGGGAACGUGCCUUUUGGUUCGGAAUAACUCAGGGAAACUUGUGCUAAUACCGAAUGUGCCCUUCGGGGGAAAGAUUUAUCGCUAUUAGAGCGGCCCGCGUCUGAUUAGCUAGUUGGUGAGGUAACGGCUCACCAAGGCGACGAUCAGUAGCUGGUCUGAGAGGAUGACCAGCCACACUGGGACUGAGACACGGCCCAGACUCCUACGGGAGGCAGCAGAGGGGAAUCUUGCGCAAUGGGCGAAAGCCUGACGCAGCCAUGCCGCGUGAAUGAUGAAGGUCUUAGGAUUGUAAAAUUCUUUCACCGGGGACGAUAAUGACGGUACCCGGAGAAGAAGCCCCGGCUAACUUCGUG